AUUGAACGCUGGCGGCAUGCCUUACACAUGCAAGUCGAACGGCAGCGGGCCUUCGGGUGCCGGCGAGUGGCGAACGGGUGAGUAAUGCAUCGGAACGUGCCAUUGAGUGGGGGGAUAACGUAGCGAAAGUUGCGCUAAUACCGCAUAUUCUGUGAGCAGGAAAGCAGGGGACCGCAAGGCCUUGCGCUCUUUGAGCGGCCGAUGUCAGAUUAGCUAGUUGGUGAGGUAAAGGCUUACCAAGGCGACGAUCUGUAGCGGGUCUGAGAGGAUGAUCCGCCACACUGGAACUGAGACACGGUCCAGACUCCUACGGGAGGCAGCAGUGGGGAAUUUUGGACAAUGGGGGCAACCCUGAUCCAGCCAUGCCGCGUGAGUGAAGAAGGCCUUCGGGUUGUAAA
rnacentral:rRNA from 1 species